AUGGAUUAAGAGCUUGCUCUUAUGAAGUUAGCGGCGGACGGGUGAGUAACACGUGGGUAACCUGCCCAUAAGACUGGGAUAACUCCGGGAAACCGGGGCUAAUACCGGAUAACAUUUUGAACCGCAUGGUUCGAAAUUGAAAGGCGGCUUCGGCUGUCACUUAUGGAUGGACCCGCGUCGCAUUAGCUAGUUGGUGAGGUAACGGCUCACCAAGGCAACGAUGCGUAGCCGACCUGAGAGGGUGAUCGGCCACACUGGGACUGAGACACGGCCCAGACUCCUACGGGAGGCAGCAGUAGGGAAUCUUCCGCAAUGGACGAAAGUCUGACGGAGCAACGCCGCGUGAGUGAUGAAGGCUUUCGGGUCGUAAAACUCUGUUGUUAGGGAAGAACAAGUGCUAGUUGAAUAAGCUGGCACCUUGACGGUACCUAACCAGAAAGCCACGGCUAACUACGUGCCAGCAGCCGCGGGAAUACGUAGGUGGCAAGCGUAUCCGGAAUUAUUGGGCGUAAAGCGCGCGCACGUGGUUUCUUAAGUCUGAUGUGAAGGCCCACGGCUCAACCGUGGAGGGUCAUUAGAAACUGGGAGACUUGAGUGCAGAAGAGGAAAGGGGAAUUCCAUGUGGAGCAGUGAAAUGCGUAGAGGAAGGGAGGGACACCAGAGUGGGGAGGGGAACUUUUCUGGGCGUGUAGCUG
rnacentral:rRNA from 1 species